rnacentral:rRNA from 1 species
GACAGAGGGUGCAAACGUUGCUCGGAAUUACUGGGCGUAAAGCGCGUGUAGGCGGGUCGGAAAGUCGGGCGUGAAAGCCCCAGGCUCAACCUGGGAACUGCACUCGAAACUUCCGGUCUAGAGUGGUGGAGAGGGAAGUGGAAUUCCUGGUGUAGAGGUGAAAUUCGUAGAUAUCAGGAGGAACACCAGUGGCGAAGGCGGCUUCCUGGACACCAACUGACGCUGAGACGCGAAAGCGUGGGGAGCAAACAGGAUUAGAAACCCCCGUAGUCC